rnacentral:rRNA from 1 species
UACGUAGGGUGCAAGCGUUAAUCGGAAUUACUGGGCGUAAAGCGUGCGCAGGCGGUUUUGUAAGUCUGUCGUGAAAUCCCCGGGCUCAACCUGGGAAUUGCGAUGGAGACUGCAAGGCUAGAAUCUGGCAGAGGGGGGUAGAAUUCCACGUGUAGCAGUGAAAUGCGUAGAGAUGUGGAGGAACACCGAUGGCGAAGGCAGCCCCCUGGGUCAAGAUUGGACGCUCAUGCACGAAAGCGUGGGGAGCAAACAGGAUUAGAAAACCCCGUGUAGUCCCAAGACCCA